rnacentral:misc_RNA from 1 species
AUUAAAUAACUUUUUAACCUACAAAAAAGUUGCGUUUACUUAAUUUGGUAAUAAUAAGAUUUAGGAGUAACAAUUUCGAUAUCCAGUUUAAAGUUCAAGAAACACGCCGAGACUGCACAGAAUAAGGUUCUUCCUCUAUCUUGUCAACGACAUAUUUACGGUCGGAUUCCACCACCACCUAGUGGAAGGACAAGUCCAAUGCCAGUCGCAGACCGAAGGACCAAGCUGCCGCUUCUAAAACUAAACGGAUGCCCAUCACCCAGAAAUCUCCUCGUUGCACAAGCAAGCAGAGCGCCGACCCAGAAGAGUACAGAAAAUUAUCGUCCAAACCAAUCUAAUCUUGUCCCGGAGCACCAUUUCGCACGAAGUAGGAGGGAUCCAUCUCGCACCUACCUGAAAUUGACGAUCUGGCCACUGAAGGUACCGCUACCUCAACCUCCAGUUCAGUAGACACGUGACAAUCACAUUGAGCUUGGACGCUAAAGGUACUAAUGAAAAUACGAUUGCGACAUGAAGUAUUAGGUGUUCUUUCACAUGUCAAUCCACUUCAAA